GGGCCCGCACAAGCGGUGGAGCAUGUGGUUUAAUUCGAAGCAACGCGAAGAACCUUACCAGGUCUUGACAUCUAGCGCCAAUCCUAGAGAUAGGACGUUCCCUUCGGGGACGCUAAGACAGGUGGUGCAUGGUUGUCGUCAGCUCGUGUCGUGAGAUGUUGGGUUAAGUCCCGCAACGAGCGCAACCCUUAUUAUUAGUUGCCAGCAUUCAGUUGGGCACUCUAGUGAGACUGCCGGUGACAAACCGGAGGAAGGUGGGG
rnacentral:rRNA from 1 species